GACGGAGGAUGCAAGUGUUAUCCGGAAUCACUGGGCGUAAAGCGUCUGUAGGUGGUUUCAAAAGUCCACUGUUAAAGAUUGAAGCUUAACUUCAAAAAUGCCGUGGAAACUUUGAAACUUGAGUAUGAUAGGGGUAGAGGGAAUUUCCAGUGGAGCGGUGAAAUGUGUAGAUAUUGGAAAGACCACCAAUGGCGAAGGCACUCUACUGGGCCAUUACUGACACUGAGAGACGAAAAGCUAGGGGGAGCAAAAUGGG
rnacentral:rRNA from 1 species